rnacentral:pre_miRNA from 1 species
GAGACAGCCCUCUGGGGCAAGACUUGCUUCAAUGGGGCUUUGGUGCUCACUGAGUCUGCCCCCUGAGUGUGUCCUU